rfam:Stegodyphus mimosarum contig63596, whole genome shotgun sequence.
GCCUUCGUGGUGUAAUGGUAGCACACUCGGCUCGUAUUCGAGAGGUCCAGGUUCCAUUCCCGGCGAGGCCA